rnacentral:lncRNA from 1 species
GUGGCACUGACAGUAAGUGAAAGUGAAAGUAUAGCGUUUAGAGAAAUGAUACACUCAGGACGGUGCACACACAGAGCAAAGACCGGUUACAAUUAAAAGUUGAAACUGGAGUAAAAUGGACGAAUACCAGCAUCCACUGUUCUUUGAAGCCAAAGAUCUGACACAAAGAGACAAAGAGAAGCUCAGGAGACACUUUUUAAAAAGACGGGACUCUGGGGGAGGUGACUGUGGAAUGAUUGAAAAAAUCGGAGACAACAUUUAUAAAAUCAGUUUCAAGGAAAAAGAAGAUCAGGAAAGGGUUCUACAGAGAAAGUUUCAUACUAUCUCGCUUCCUAGUGGAGAGCUACAUCUGACCUUGAGCCGAACCAGUUCACCACAGACUCUUAAUCAGCCACCGACACAGACAGUCUCAAAAACAAACACAAAAAGCCUUGAGAAAAUUUUCAAGAUUGACAUUUACCUCCUGUAUUACCUGAGGGACAACCCUAAAGCCUAUAAAGUACUACAGAAACAACUCUCUGCUAUCGGCUGCACAGUGGAGUUAAAUUUUGAUGAAGAGGAGGCAGUGGUGAAAGGAGAUAUUGAAAAAGCACCUGGAAGAGGCUUCGGUGCUGCAGAGAAAUGGGAGAUACAGGUGGAUCGAGUCUUCAUUGGUCUCACUGACAGCUACAUUUGCCAUCAUGUGCUUGACCCAAAGCAAAUUAGAAUCCUAAUGCAGGACCCGUCCUUUGUAACUGAUGAUAUCAGAGUCUACACAGAGCUGGGCUAUUCUGUGGUUGUGGGAGAGUUUGGUGCUGUGAAUGACAGGAUUGCUAAUGUGGAAAAGAAUGUGCCAAUCCGUAAAGAACUGCCAGUUGUGGAGAAAAGGUUUAAACUGAUAGAAGAGGAGUUUACUCGAGAAAUGCGUGCCCAUUACUCAGAAGUUAAAGUACUCAUUGGUAACGCCAUGGUAAUUUUGGAGGGACCUGAGAAAGAGGUGCAGUUAGGAACCACAAAACUUGAUGAACUGAUGAAAAGUGUAAAAGAAAGAAGAGUGAACCUCCCUACAGAAUUAAUCACCUUCAUAAAAACCAGUGGGGCCAUCUCCAAGUACCAGGAUCGUUUCCAGCAGAGUCUAAGAAAUCCUGUUUCCCUGGAGGUGGGAUCAGACCUGGUUCUGUCCAGUCUGUCGUCUGGUGCCCUGGAUGAAGCUGAAGCAGCAGUAAAAAGGGACCUGAGCAUGGACACAGUGCAGCUCCAGGGUGCUGCAGCUGUGCCUCCAGAUCUAGACAGAGUUAAAGAAAUCCUCAACAAAGCGAAGAACGAGGUAAACUGUGAAGAGUUCAGAGUGGACUUCAGCUUCAUCUCAGCAGUGAGUGGAACGGCACUGACUAAGGUACGACUUGUUGGGUACAGUGAAAAUGUGAACAAGCUGAAAGAAGUUCUGCAUGACUACCAGCUGAACUAUGUUGGAACACAAGAAGCUAUGGACCUAUCUCCUGACCUGGUUGACUGUUUCGACAAAAUCUUAGACCUGAUUGGGAUGAAGCAAACUGAGGUGACCUUGAAAGCUUCACAUUUCCCACAUCCUUGUGUGCUUGUGUCUGGACCCCGUUGCCUCGUACGAGAAACUCAGAGAAACCUGAAAGCCACUCUAGCCAGUCUGACAUCAGACACACUGGUUCUAGACGGGUCAGGGGCUCAGAGGUACUUCGAGGCAGACGGUAAAUUGAACAUAGAGCUGGUAGAAAGCUCCUGUCAGGUCAUUAUCAGGAAGCAGCAACGUGUGCACUCAAACCUAAGCGUGAUAUCUAAACCACGAAGCAUCAGCAGCCCCAGCGCCCUUAGCAUCACACCCAAACACCCAGACCCACCGAAAACAAACCUGGAGAUCAAGAUCGGCAGUAUAGAGGACGAGCAAGUGAACGUGUUGGUGGCCCCCAUGCUCAACAAAAAGCUGACUUCUACUAAAAUUGGCAAACAUCUGUCAAGGAAAGCAGGGGAGAUAAUGAAGAGAAACUUUGACCAGAUGGCAGCAAAGUGUACCAUUGGUCCUGGAGAUGUUCUGCAGCUUGAUGGUCCUUCAUCUCUGGGCUGCUCCAAGCUCUUAUUCAUUGAGUGUCUGCCAUGGGAUGGAGUCAGAGGGAGGAGUGUACAGGUAAAGUGAAAUACUGUCGUACAUUUAAAAAACGCUACUGGUGAUGAGUACAAGGCCAUUCAUAAUCGACACAGUUCUAACACCUGAAAAC